UACGGAGGGGGCGAGCGUUUAUUCGGAAUUAUUGGGCGUAAAGGGCGCGUAGGCGGCCCUGCAAGUCAAAGGUGAAAUCCCUCGGCUCAACUGAGGAACUGCCUUUGAAACUGCAGGGCUUGAGUCCGGGAGGGGGGUAGCGGAAUUCCCAGUGUAGCGGUGAAAUGCGUAGAUAUUGGGGAGGAACACCAGUGGCGAAGGCGGCUACCUGGACCGGAACUGACGCUGAUGCGCGAAAAGCGUGGGGGAGCAAACAGG
rnacentral:rRNA from 1 species